GUUCAGCAUUAGAAAUGCCCCAAUCAGGAUAGGGGAGAGAUUUGUCCCUCCCUAGCAGCAGCCAGCCAAAGUUCCAAUACAUUGUAGAAUCUGCAAAGAGGAGGACUGCCUGAUAUUUCUAAAAUGUCAUCAUCAGUGGAGAAUGGGGAGUGACUGAGAAAUACAUAACAAUGCCAUCUUCCUCCUGGGUGCAGGCAUUAAAUGGCUAAGAAAACUAACUCUUUUUCAACAGUCAGGAAUUGUGUAAGGAGGUAAGCAUUGUGCUCCCAAGUACCUUAAUGAUUUUGAAAGAAUAUACAUGUGCAUAAAGUAC
rnacentral:lncRNA from 11 species